rnacentral:tRNA from 1 species
AGCGUUCAGAGAUGGGAAUCGAACUCAUAGUGUUCCGCUUACCGGGCAGAUGCCAUGUCCACUAGGCUACCCUGGGC